rnacentral:lncRNA from 9 species
UUUUUUUUUUUUUUUUUUUUUGUAGGGCAACAUGUGUGGCAUAUGGAAAUUCCCAGGCUAGGGGUCAAAUCAGAGCUGCAGCUGCCAACCUGUGCCACAGCCACAGCAAUGCAGGAUCUGAACCAUGUCUGUGACCUACACCGCAGCUCGCGGCAAGGCCAGAUCCUUAACCCACUGAGAAAGGCCAGGGAUUGAACUCAUAUCCUCAUGGAUACUAGUCCAAUUCGUUACCACUGAGCUGCAAUGGUAAACCCCCCCCCCAUUUAGUCUUUAAAUUAACCCUGUGAGGUGGGUAUCAUUAUUAUCCCUACUUUACAGAUGAGGAAACUGAGGCUCUGAAAAUUGAAAUAAUAUACCAAUUAGGUGUAGUAGAAUGGUUGUAGCUUUUUCCUGCCAAUAGCCAAUCUCUUCUGCCCAGAGUGCCUCAGUUUCCCUUUGGGGAACCACUCUCCCCUUCUGUACAUUGCUGUGGUGGGACAGAGAUCCUACCUUAACUCUAGGACCCAAAGUUCCCAUCAAUUUAAUCAUUGUUAGACUGUAAACUGCACAAGGGCAGGCACUGGUUUUGUCCAUUUCACAUCUUGGAAUAGGGCACAAUUUAAGUGCUCAACAAAUAGCUAAAGGACAAACAAAUGAACACAGCAUAUGACGUGUAAUACAUCAAUGUGUUUUUUUUUUUUUUUUGUCUUUUUGCAUUUUCUAGGGCUGCACCUGUGGCAUAUGAGGGUUCCCAGGCUAGGGUUUGGGGAGUGGAAAAUCAGUUCAGUUUGGGAUGUGUACUGUUUUUAUUAUAGCAAAAUAGACAAACAAGGGCAGUAUGGAGGUUCCUUAAAAAAUAAAAGUUGCUAUACCAUAUAGCAAUACCACUCCUGAGCAUAUAUCCAGAAAAAACUGUAAUUUGAAAAGAUACAUGCUCCCCAAUGUUCAUUGCAGCACUAUUCACAAUAGCCAAGACAUGGAAACAACAUAAAUGUCCAUCAGCAGAGCACUGGAUAAUGAAGAUGUGGUGCAUAUAUACAAUGGAAUAUUACUCAGCCAUAAGAAAGAACAAAAAAAAAAUGCCAUUUGCAGCAACAUGUUUGGACCAAAGAUGAUCAUACUAAGUGAAGUGAAUCAGACAGAGAAGGACAAAUAUCAUACGAGAUCACUCAUACGCUUAAUCUAACAAAAAUUGACAAAAAAGGACUUAUUCACAAAACAGUAACAGACUCAAAGAUUCUGAGACAAAACCUACAGUUACCAAAGGGGAAAUGCUGGGGGUGGGGGAUGGAUUGGGAAGUUGGGAUUGGCAUAUACACACUAGUAUAUACCAAACUGAUUGGUAAGAAGGAGCUACCAUACAGCUCAGGAAAACUUAUUCAGUGCUCUGUUACAGCCUAUAUAGGGAAAGACUCUGAAAAAGAAUGAAGAUUUAUAUACGUAUAUAGGUAUGGCUGAUUCAGUUUGCUGUACACUUAAAAUUAACACAAUAUUGUGAGUCACCUACAUGCCAAUAAAAUUUGUUUUAAAAAAUACAUAAACAUAAAACUUACGAUUUCAUUCAUAAUUGAGUGGCAUCAAGUACAUUCACAAUGUCGUGACCACCACCACUAUCUGCUUCUCAAACUUUUCCAUCCUUCCCAACACAAACUCUGUACCCAUUAAACACUAAACUCCCAUUUUGCCUCCUCCCAGGCCCUGGUCCCGUCUGGUCUACCUUCCUCUCUAGUGGACACUUACAUGUAAGAUGCCUACCGGACAUUCCCCUGAAGAUAUUGGCAGGUCAGACUCGCUGAUUCUGGGGUGAAAGGGAGAAAUGAGAGGUAGCGACAUUAACAGGGGAGUCCUCAGUAUAUGGUACAGCCAGCACACAACUCCCAUUUUUUGAACUGAAUGUUUCACUUUAUUUCUCUCACACUUGUGCAGCCUGGAACAUGACUAUGGUGUCAGAAUUAGUGACAUCAAGUAAUCAUUGUUUACUUGAAUAACUGAACUCAUUGCCCUCCAGGUUGGGGGCACUGUGUUUCUUUGACUAAGACAUUUCAAAAGGAUAAUAAGCCUUUAAUAUCAACACCUCUAUUUCUUGGGGGAAAAUAGCGAUGGAACAAAUUUCAAAAUACACUGGCAUCACACCUGCAGUUUUCAGAACCAGUGUUUGAUUUGUGAUCUCUUUGGCUGAUGAUGGUGCCAGAAUCCGGUACCACUUGACACCAUGC